GUAGGUGAACCUGCGGAAGGAUCAUUACCGAGUUAGGGUUCUGCUUGCAGGCCCGAUCUCCCAACCCUUUGUCUACCUUACCUUGUCGUUGCUUCGGCGGACCGGUUUGACCCACUGGUCGUGACCGCCCGGGGUUUCGACCCCAGGAGAGCGUUCGCCGACGGCCCAACCACAAACUCUUGUAUCAAACCAUGUCGUCUGAAUAUACUUGAUUAAAAUCAAAAACAAAACUUUCAACAACGGAUCUCUU
rnacentral:misc_RNA from 1 species